ACUAGCAGUAAGAGUUUGAUCCUGGCUCAGGACGAACGCUGGCGGCAGGCUUAACACAUGCAAGUCGAGCGCUGUAGCAAUACAGAGCGGCAGACGGGUGAGUAACGCGUGGGAACGUGCCCUUCAGUUCGGGACAACCCAGGGAAACUUGGGCUAAUACCGGAUACGCCCUCAGGGGGAAAGAUUUAUCGCUGAAGGAUCGGCCCGCGUCAGAUUAGGUAGUUGGUGGGGUAAUGGCCUACCAAGCCUAUGAUCUGUAGGUGGUCUGAGAGGACGAUCACCCACACUGGGACUGAGACACGGCCCAGACUCCUACGGGAGGCAGCAGUGGGGAAUAUUGGACAAUGGGCGAAAGCCUGAUCCAGCCAUGCCGCGUGGAUGAAGAAGGCCCUAGGGUUGUAAAGCUCUUUUGCCAGGGAAGAUGAUGACGGUACCUGGAGAAUAAGCACCGGCUAACUUCGUGCCAGCCGCCGCGGUAAUUC
rnacentral:rRNA from 1 species